rnacentral:rRNA from 1 species
AUUGAACGCUGGCGGCAUGCCUUACACAUGCAAGUCGAACGGUAACGGGCCUUCGGGUGCCGACGAGUGGCGAACGGGUGAGUAAUGUAUCGGAACGUACCUUUCAGUGGGGGAUAACGUAGCGAAAGUUACGCUAAUACCGCAUAUUCUGUGAGCAGGAAAGCAGGGGAUCGCAAGACCUUGCGCUGAUUGAGCGGCCGAUAUCAGAUUAGCUAGUUGGUGAGGUAAAAGCUCACCAAGGCGACGAUCUGUAGCGGGUCUGAGAGGAUGAUCCGCCACACUGGAACUGAGACACGGUCCAGACUCCGACGGGAGGCAGCAGUGGGGAAUUUUGGACAAUGGGGGCAACCCUGAUCCAGCCAUGCCGCGGGAGUGAAGAAGGCCUUCGGGUUGUAAAGCUCUUUCGGCCGGGAAGAAAUCGUAUCAGCUAAUACCUGGUGCGGAUGACGGUACCGGCAUAAGAAGCACCGGCUAACUACGUGCCAGCAGCCGCCGUAACAC